CCCGCACAAGCGGUGGAGCAUGUGGUUUAAUUCGAUGAUACGCGAGGAACCUUACCUGGGCUCAAAUGUAUGUUGACGUAUUCUGAAAGGGAUACUUCUUCGGACAAUAUACAAGGUGCUGCAUGGUUGUCGUCAGCUCGUGCCGUGAGGUGUCGGGUUAAGUCCCAUAACGAGCGCAACCCCUAUCAUUAGUUGCCAUCAGGUCAAGCUGGGGACUCUAAAGGGACUGCCGGUGUUAAACCGGAGGAAGGUGGGGAUGACGUCAAGUCCUCAUGGCCUUUAUGACCAGGGCUACACACGUACUACAAUGGCCGAUACAAAGGGCAGCGACACUGCGAGGUGAAGCCAAUCCCGUAAAAUCGGUCUCAGUCCGGAUUGGAGUCUGCAACUCGACUCCAUGAAGUUGGAAUCGCUAGUAAUCGUGGAUCAGCAUGCCACGGUGAAUACGUUCCCGGGCCUU
rnacentral:rRNA from 1 species